AUUGAACGCUGGCGGCAUGCUUUACACAUGCAAGUCGAACGGCAGCGCGGGCUUCGGCCUGGCGGCGCGUGGCGAACGGGUGAGUAAUGCAUCGGAACGUGCCCAGUCGUGGGGGAUAGCCCGGCGAAAGCCGGCUUAAUACCGCAUACGACCUGAGGGUGAAAGCGGGGGACCGAAAGGCCUCGCGCUAUUGGAGCGGCCGAUGUCGGAUUAGCUAGUUGGUGGGGUAAAGGCUUACCAAGGCGACGAUCCGUAGCUGGUCUGAGAGGACGACCAGCCACACUGGGACUGAGACACGGCCCAGACUCCUACGGGAGGCAGCAGUGGGGAAUUUUGGACAAUGGGGGCAACCCUGAUCCAGCCAUGCCGCGUGCGGGAAGAAGGCCUUCGGGUUGUAAACCGCUUUUGUUCGGGAAGAAAUCCUCUGGGCUAAUACCCCGGGGGGAUGACGGUACCGGAAGAAUAAGCACCGGCUAACUACGUG
rnacentral:rRNA from 1 species